rnacentral:rRNA from 1 species
AGCAAUCGAAGCAGUGAACUUAAGCCCCAGUAAACGGCGGCCGUAACUAUAACGGUCCUAAGGUAGCGAAAUUCCUUGUCGGGUAAGUUCCGACCCGCACGAAAGGCGUAACGAUUUGGGCACUGUCUCAACAACAGACUCGGUGAAAUUGUAAUUCCGGUGAAGAUGCCGGAUACCUGCGACAGGACGGAAAGACCCCAUGGAGCUUUACUGUAGCUUGACAUUGGGUCUUGGUACUACAUGUACAGGAUAGGUGGGAGGCUUUGAAACCAGGACG